CUGUAUAUUUACCAUAAGUCUUUGAGUUCAUUCCUUGGCUGUUUAUGCUCAAAAUUGUAUUAGUUAAUUGUGCUAUAGCAUAACCUGAUUUAUAAGCUAUUGUAUAUCUUAGCUUACUAGGAUUUAAGGAGACGCUCUAUAUCAGAACACUUGUACCUUGAUACGUUUCUAGAUGUGUGUUGAUUUACUAUGUUAUAUUCUUUAUAAACUUCUUACAGUC
rnacentral:lncRNA from 1 species